UACCAGACUCCUACGGGAGGCAGCAGUGGGGAAUUUUGGACAAUGGGCGCAAGCCUGAUCCAGCUAUUCCGCGUGUGGGAUGACGGCCCUCGGGUUGUAAACAACUUUAGUAGAGAACGAAAAGGAGCUAUCGAAUAAAUAGCUCUGCUGACGGUACUCUAAGAAUAAGCACCGGCUAACUCCGUGCCAGCAGCCGCGGUAAUACGGGGGGUGCAAGCGUUGUCCGGAAUCAUUGGGCGUAAAGCGUUCGUAGGCGGCAAGGUAAGUCUGAUGUUAAAGCCCGGGGCUCAACUCCGGUUCGGCAUUGGAUACUAUCUAGCUAGAAUGUGGUAGAGGUAAAGGGAAUUCCUGGUGUAGCGGUGAAAUGCGUAGAUAUCAGGAGGAACAUCGGUGGCGAAAGCGCUUUACUGGACCAUUAUUGACGCUGAGGAACGAAAGCCAGGGGAGCAAAUGGGAUUAGAUACCCGUGUA
rnacentral:rRNA from 1 species